rnacentral:misc_RNA from 1 species
UGGCUCUCGCAUCGAUGAAGAACGCAGCGAAAUGCGAUAAGUAAUGUGAAUUGCAGAAUUCAGUGAAUCAUCGAAUCUUUGAACGCACCUUGCGCUCCUUGGUAUUCCGAGGAGCAUGCCUGUUUGAGUGUCAUUAAAUUUCUCAAUCCUUCUUUUUGUACACUAAACAAAAAGUAGAGGAUUGGAUGUUGGAAGUUGCUGGUUUUCUUACCAAGUCAGCUCUUCUUAAAAGCAUUAGCUUGGACGUUUGAAGAACUAAACUAGCUUUGGUGUGAUAAAUUAUCUACGCCAUUGUUACAUCUCUUCAAUGUAAUGUUUUAGCUUCUAAUUAACAUAAAUCUAGGUUGUUUACACCUUGAUUUCUUUUUGAUAAUUUGACCUCAAAUCAGGUAGGACUACCCGCUGA